rnacentral:misc_RNA from 1 species
AACGCACCUUGCGCCCUUUGGCCAUUCCGAAGGGCAUGCCUGUUUGAGUAUCAUGAACACCUCAACUCUUCAUGGUUUUCCGUGAUGAGCUUGGACUUUGGGGGCUUUGCUGGCCUACAGUCAGCUCCUCUAAAAUGAAUCAGCUUGCCAGUGUUUGGUGGGCAUCACAGGUGUGAUAACUAUCUACGCUUGUGGUUUUCCACCAGGUAGCCUUCAGCAGUGGAGGUUCACUGGAGCUCACAGAUGUCUCUCCUCAGUGAGGACAGCCCUUUGAAUGUUUGAUCUCAAAUCAGGUAGGACUACCCGCUGAACUUAA